rnacentral:rRNA from 1 species
UACGUAGGGUGCAAGCGUUGUCCGGAAUUAUUGGGCGUAAAGAGCUCGUAGGCGGUCUGUCGCGUCGGAUGUGAAAACUCGGGGCUCAACCCCGGGCCUGCAUUCGAUACGGGCAGACUAGAGUUCGGCAGGGGAGACUGGAAUUCCUGGUGUAGCGGUGAAAUGCGUAGAUAUCGAGAGGAACACCUGCGGCGAAGGCGGGUUGCUGGGCUGACACUGACGCUGAUGCGCGAAAGCCAGGGGAGCGAACGGG